GAUGAACGCUGGCGGCGUGCCUAAUACAUGCAAGUCGAGCGAACGGAUAAGGAGCUUGCUCCUUUGAAGUUAGCGGCGGACGGGUGAGUAACACGUGGGUAACCUACCUAUAAGACUGGAAUAACUUCGGGAAACCGGAGCUAAUGCCGGAUAACAUUUGGAACUGCAUGGUUCUAAAGUAAAAGAUGGUUUUGCUAUCACUUAUAGAUGGACCCGCGCCGUAUUAGCUAGUUGGUAAGGUAACGGCUUAUCAAGGCAACGAUACGUAGCCGACCUGCGAGGGUGAUCGGCCACACUGGAACUGAGACACGGUCCAGACUCCUACGGGAGGCAGCAGUAGGGAAUCUUCCGCAAUGGACGAAAGUCUGACGGAGCAACGCCGCGUGAGUGAUGAAGGUUUUCGGAUCGUAAAACUCUGUUAUUAGGGAAGAACAAAUGUGUAAGUAACUGUGCACAUCUUGACGGUACCUAAUCAGAAAGCCACGGCUAACUACGUGCCAGCCGCCGCAGUAA
rnacentral:rRNA from 1 species